UUCCCAGCUUUAGUAUGUCCUGCCCGCUUUGAGCGACUCCAACAAAGAACACCAUCAGUGUUGCUCUCCACCAACCACCACUGAGUGACUCAACUCUAGAGCUGAGGACUGAACCCAGGACCUUGUGCUUACUAGGCAAGCACUCUACCACUGAGCUAAAUCCCCAAUCCCAUCCCCCUAAUUCUAAAACUAUAACCUCCUUAAAGAUAUACAGUUCUCUUUAACAGUAUAUUUAAGUUGAUUACCCUGCCUUGCCCGUACUUAAAACUAUUAGAUAUUCAGAAUAUAACCAUUCAUGUUUUCUGUGUUUCAAAUAAAGCUUAGUAAGUUACAAUUCAAAA